rnacentral:sRNA from 1 species
AUUUCCCGCUGGAGCUCACUCAGAAAGCAGCCAGGAUUGUGCUCAUGGACGAUGCCAUGGACUGCUUGAUGUCUUUUUCAGAUUUCCUCUUUGCCUUCCAGAUCCAGUUUUACUACUCAGGCACAGCACUGACUUUAAUCUUGACAACAGCCUUGAGAGAGAGUCCUUUCAGAGACAAGCUCACAGAAGUAGUAGCCAGUCAUGCAGCUCAUAAGUGGUGGAGACCAGACCUGAAGGCUGACUCCAAAGCCAGCGUUCCCAACCUCGCUGCUAUUUUACUGCCUUCAAGGGUCUCUCCCUUGGCAACUGAUCGUGCGUUUGGGUGCACAUUCUCCUCCACCCCACAGCUUUAAAAAAGCAUACACCAGUCCUUUGUCACACUCCCACUCUGCUCCCCAAUUCACCCAGCUGCACCCUUAAGUCUCUCUGGAAUCAGAUGGAAUAAAUAUAGACAAAUAAAUAUAAAUAUACACCAGC